rnacentral:rRNA from 1 species
AGUAAGUCAUGGCGGCUGCCUAAUACAUGCAAGUCGAACGCGCGGAUCAGGAGCUUGCUCCUGUGACGCGAGUGGCGGACGGGUGAGUAACACGUAGGCAACCUGCCCAUCAGACCGGGAUAACCACGGGAAACCGUGGCUAAUACCGGAUAACCCUUUUCCACACAGGUGGGAAAGUUGAAAGGCGGCUUCGGCUGUCACUGAUGGAUGGGCCUGCGGCGCAUUAGCUGGUUGGUGGGGUAACGGCCCACCAAGGCGACGAUGCGUAGCCGACCUGAGAGGGUGAUCGGCCACACUGGGACUGAGACACGGCCCAGACUCCUACGGGAGGCAGCAGUAGGGAAUCUUCCGCAAUGGACGAAAGUCUGACGGAGCAACGCCGCGUGAGUGAAGAAGGGUUUCGGCUCGUAAAAGCUCUGUGGUCAGGGAACGAAUGCCGACGGGAGUCACCUGCCCGUCGGGUGACGAGUACCUGACCAGAAAGCCACGAGCUAACUACGUGCCAGCAGCCGCGGUAAUACGUAGGUAGUAUGCGUGCAUCCGGAGAUGAUCCGGGCUGUCCAGCGCGCGUAGUGCAGAUUCGUCCAGUCUGAUGUCACAGCCUCCGGCGACGACCCGCUCUGGUCAUGCGGACGAAUCGCCGACUCGAGGUGCGGCGAGUAUGACCACUGCACCUAGCAAAGUGUACCACAUCGACACUACAUCAUAGGANUGACAGCGAACAGCAGCUAGCGGCUGCUUCCUCUCGUCUGCAGAUAGUAUACAUACUAUGCGUAGUCAUACGCUGUACUGAUGACUGGUCAGCCCGUAACAUCAGUAGUAGCCACCCGUUCACCGGCUUUCC